rnacentral:rRNA from 1 species
UACGUAGGGUGCGGGCGUUGUCCGGAAUUAUUGGGCGUAAAGAGCUCGUAGGCGGUCUGUCGCGUCGAUCGUGAAAACUUGGGGCUUAACCCUGAGCUUGCGGUCGAUACGGGCAUGACUGGAGUUCGGCAGGGGAGACUGGAAUUCCUGGUGUAGCGGUGAAAUGCGCAGAUAUCAGGAGGAACACCGGUGGCGAAGGCGGGUCUCUGGGCCGAUACUGACGCUGAGGAGCGAAAGCGUGGGGAGCGAACAGG